rnacentral:lncRNA from 1 species
GAGUUCCACAAGGUCUUUCCUCCCUGACUCCUUCUGCCUUUCCAGCCACGUUCUGCAAUUCUCUCUUGCCUCACCAUGCUCUAGUUCAGGGGUUGGCAAACUAGGAAAGUUUGGUAACAUUUUAUUGGAACACAACGAAUCCCUUUGUUUAAGUAUUGCCUAUGGCUGCUUUCACACUGCAAUGGCAGGCUUGGGUGGUUGGGAAAGACACCAUAUGGCCCCAUUGUAAUUGUAUGGUAACAUUUAACUGUACAGGACUUGGGAAGUUAGGUCUAGCUGUGAGUCCAAGAAAAGGAAAUGAUUUUGUUCAUCAGCUAACAAUAUUUGCCAUAAAAGCAAAGCAAUGUGAGUGGGGACCCUAAAAGUUCCCACUGUUUUCACCAUUCUGACUACCACCCACUCCCCACCAAAUGUCCCUGAGGCAUACCCUGCAGACCUUAUUACUUUGGGGCACACGUUUUGAAGAGGCUGACUUUACUAAUUUGACUUGGCAUUUUGAUUAAAAUUACUUUCAUAUUUUGAUUAAAGUUAUAACUGCGUGAUAGAGACAUACUCAUAUCACCAGUGCUUUAAGGACACACAAUGGGAAGCUGAUGACUUCUAAACCAUUUCACAUUGAAUCUAAAUUCACUGCUUAAUAAUAAGUAACAAUGAUAAUAAUAGUAACAGAUGUGUACUACUCACAUAUAGCACCAUCUUAUCUCAUCCUCACUUACGGUAAGUGCUUUUGUUAUUCAUUUUUUAGAUGAGGAAACUAAGGAGAAGAGAUGUUAAGUAACUUGCCCAGGUUACACAAUAGGAAGUAAUGAAUAAUGGAUCCAGGAUUUAAAGCCAGUAGUCUGACCACUGAGCACCAAUUAAUUAACUUUAGCUACACAAUCUCAUCAUAUGGUUAAAUGAAUACCUCAUUCUUGUGUAAUAAUUUACAAUUACAAAUUGGUGAGGAUCCUCAUUUUCCAUAUUAGAAACUAAGGCAUGAAAAUGUUAAGAGAUUUGGCAAGGUUAUGUAGCCAUUUUUCAGGCCAAAGAAUAUUAGGAACUUGGUCUUCAGUUUCUCCCGCUCAAAACAAAAUGUAAACUUGAACUGUAUGCAAUUCUCUCUGCUAUGGCAGUCGUGCACCUAGAACCCAGUGGGCACUAAAUCAGAAUAAACUAUCUGGAUGGCAUUUUAGCUACAUAUAUCCAAAAUAAAAAGAGCCAAAUAUUUAUUUAAAAAAUGAGAGGCAAUGUAACAGUAAUAAAAAUUGGAAACGACCUUAAUAUUAACUAGUAGUAGAACGUUUAAAUUAAUUAUAUUGCAUCCAUAAGAUGAAAUGUUGCCAUCAAAAAUCAUGGGUUUUUGUCUGGUGCAGUGGUGCCUGUAAUCCCAGCAUUUUGGGAGGCCAAGGUGGGAAGAUCACCUGAGGCCAGGAGUUUGAGACCAGCUUGGCCAACAUGGUGAAACCCCUUCUCUACUAAAAAUACAAAAAAAAUUACAGGUGGGUACCUGUAAUCCCAGUUACUCAGGAGGCUGAGGCAGGUGAAUUGCUUGAGCCUGGGAGGCAGAGGUUGCAGUAAGCCAAGGUUGCACCACUGCACUCCAACCUGGGUGAGAGAGUGAGACUCCAUCUCAAAAAAAGAAAAAAAAAAAGGAAAAAAAAAA